rnacentral:rRNA from 1 species
UACGUAGGGGGCAAGCGUUGUCCGGAUUUAUUGGGCGUAAAGAGCGUGUAGGCGGCCAGGUAGGUCUGGUGUGAAAACUCGAGGCUUAACCUCGAGAUGUCAUCGGAAACCAUCUGGCUAGAGUUCGGUAGGGGAGACUGGAAUUCCUGGUGUAGCGGUGAAAUGCGCAGAUAUCAGGAGGAGCACCGAUGGCGAAGGCAGGUCUCUGGGCCGAUACUGACGCUGAGGAGCGAAAGCGCGGGGAGCGAACAGG